rnacentral:rRNA from 1 species
CCUACGGGCGGCUGCAGUGGGGAAUAUUGCACAAUGGGCGCAAGCCUGAUGCAGCCAUGCCGCGUGUGUGAAGAAGGCCUUCGGGUUGUAAAGCACUUUCAGCGGGGAGGAAGGCGGUGAGGUUAAUAACCUCAUCGAUUGACGUUACCCGCAGAAGAAGCACCGGCUAACUCCGUGCCAGCAGCCGCGGUAAUACGGAGGGUGCAAGCGUUAAUCGGAAUUACUGGGCGUAAAGCGCACGCAGGCGGUCUGUCAAGUCGGAUGUGAAAUCCCCGGGCUCAACCUGGGAACUGCAUUCGAAACUGGCAGGCUAGAGGCUUGUAGAGGGGGGUAGAAUUCCCGGUUUAGCGGGGAAAUGCGUAGAGAUCUGGAGGAAUACCGGUGGCGAAGGCGGCCCCCUGGACAAAGACUGACGCUCAGGUGCGAAAGCGUGGGGAGCAAACCGGAUUAGAUACCCUUGUAGUC